GUGCUCACUUUGGCAGCACAUAUACUAAAAUUAGAAUGAUACAGAGAAGAUUAGCAUGGCCCCAGCACAAGGAUGACACGGAAAUUCCUAAACCAUUCCAUAUAUUU
rnacentral:snRNA from 1 species